rnacentral:rRNA from 1 species
CCCCUAGAUGUUCUGGGCCGCACGCGCGCUACACUGAACAGUUCAACAAGUCUUAACCUUGACCGAUAGGUCUGGGUAAUCUUUGAACGCUGUUCGUGAUUGGGAUAGACCUUUGCAAUUAUGGGUCUUCAACGAGGAAUUCCUAGUAAACGCAAGUCAUCAGCUUGCAUUGAUUACGUCCCUGCCCUUUGUACACACCGCCCGUCGCACCUACCGAUUGAAUGGUCCGGUGAAAUCUCGGGACGGCGGCUUGGUCGCUUGCGUCCGACUGCUGAAACUUGAUUAAACCAUAUCAUUUAGAGGAAGGUGAAGUCGUANCA